UAUGUCAUAUGCUCAGGGCUCAGGAAGUGCUUUGAGAAUGGACAGGGCUGACUAGAUGAAGGAGUUGACGUCUGGUGUCUCUAGGCCCCGUCUGGCUGUGUGACCAUGGGUUCAAUUUGGGAGUCAUGGUAGAUAGACACGGCUGCCUGGGUCCACCUCAUCCUCCAAACUCUGGGGCAGCUCCUGGCCCACUGUCGGUGAUGAGAGAUUUCAGAAGACAAGUUUGUUGGUGGUGUGGAUUUUUUCUCUGCCUGUGAGUGCUUUGCAUGGUAAGGAGCAGGAAUAAGACUGGAAGAAAUCAUGACUAGACAUACCCAGAAAACUGCAUUCCGGAAGGAGAACUCCCUUGCUUGAGAGCUUUGGCAAUCCUAAAUAAACAAAAACGCAACAUUUAGAAACAGCUCAUUUGGUAUUUCACGUCUCAUCUGCUGCCCAGUUGGUCUGAGAAUGUGGCCCAAAAGAUGGCUUAGAUGAUCUAUGACCAAGUGAUCCAACCCCGGACAAAAGAUUCAUUAAUUUGUUACAGAGAAAAUGUGGCCCACAGAGUCAAAAUUUAAAAAAAAAAAAAAUUUUUUUAAAGUUCUGUUUUCAAUUUGGAAUUUGAGCUAUCCUGACAUUGGCCAAAGUGUGGUGGAAAGGCAAGUCUUUUAUAUCCUUGAGUUGUUUUGACAUAGCCAGGGACACUCGGGGGAUAAGAUUCAA